GGCGGAAUAGCUCAGUAGGCUAAAGCGUUUUUACUUCAGGACUCAAGGGGUCACUGGUUCGAAACCUGGUCCGGGCA
rnacentral:tRNA from 1 species